rnacentral:rRNA from 1 species
UUACCAGGCCUUGACAUGCUAGGGGACCUGCCUGAAAGGGUGGGGUGCCCUGAGAGGGGAGCCCUAGCACAGGUGCUGCAUGGCCGUCGUCAGCUCGUGUCGUGAGAUGUUGGGUUAAGUCCCGCAACGAGCGCAACCCCUGCCCUUAGUUGCCAGCGGGUUAGGCCGGGCACUCUAAGGGGACUGCCUGCGAAAGCAGGAGGAAGGCGGGGACGACGUCUGGUCAGCAUGGCCCUUACGGCCUGGGCGACACACGUGCUACAAUGCCCACUACAAAGCGAUGCGACCCAGCGAUGGGGAGCGAAUCGCAAAAAGGUGGGCGUAGUUCGGAUUGGGGUCUGCAACUCGACCCCAUGAAGCCGGAAUCGCUAGUAAUCGCGGAUCAGCCAUGCCGCGGUGAAUACGUUCCCGGGCCUUGUACACACCGCCCGUCACGCCAUGGGAGCGGGUUCUACCCGAAGUCGCUGGGAGCCAUUGGGCAGGCGCCGAGGGUAGGGCUCGUGACUGGGGCGAAGUCGUAACAAGGUAGCUGUACCGGAAGGUGCGGCUGGAUCACCUCCUUUCUA